GUGCAGCAGGCGCGAAUACUCCGCAAUGCGGGCAACCGCGACGGGGCUACCCCGAGUGCCGGGCGAAGAGCCCGGCUUUUGCCCGGUCUAAAACGCCGGGAGAAUAAGCGGGGGGCAAGUCUGGUGUCAGCCGCCGCGGUAAUACCAGCUCCGCGAGUGGUCGGGGUGUUUACUGGGCUUAAAGCGCCCGUAGCCGGCCCGGCAAGUCGCUCCUGAAAUCCCCGGGCUCAACCCGGGGGCGGGGGGCGAUACUGCCGGGCUAGGGGGCGGGAGAGGCCGCCGGUACUCCGGGGGUAGGGGCGAAAUCCGUUAAUCCCCGGAGGACCACCAGUGGCGAAAGCGGGCGGCCAGAACGCGCCCGACGGUGAGGGGCGAAAGCCGGGGGAGCAAAGGGGAUUAGAUACCCCUGUAGUCCCGGCCGUAAACGGUGCGGGCUAGCUGUCGGCCGGGCUUAGGGCCCGGCCGGUGGCGAAGGGAAACCGUUAAGCCCGCCGCCUGGGGAGUACGGCCGCAAGGCUGAAACUUAAAGGAAUUGGCGGGGGGCAC
rnacentral:rRNA from 1 species